UCCCCUCUCCUCACACACACACCCAUAACUAUACUGACACAGUGUACACAGGAUCUUUUUAUUUGUACAAAGAUAAUAAACCAAUAGAAGACAGUUUAUAAUUUUAGUGACUGAUCACAUUUACAAUUUAGAAAGUAAACUGGCACCUGAGGUGUAGAGUAUUGAUUUUUCUCAAAUAACCAGUCCAUGGAAUGAUUCCAUCAGAGUCACUUAGGAGAGGUCUAUGUGGGUGCAUAUGUGUGAGUGUUUGGUGGUGGUCGUGGUAAUUACAAGGUUUUAUAGCAGGCCUACCAGAUCAUUUAUUUUACACUUACGGAUAGGGUUCAGAAAUCUGUACUUUAAGAAAUCAUCCCUUAUUGUGCCCAACUAGACUUGAGAAUUUCUGGUGAAGCAGAAUGGGCUAGGAUCAGAAAUAUCCAAUACUGUUCUUUGUGGUAGUCCAAGUAGGAGGCUUAAACAUAGGUAGUUAUGGCUGUUAGGAAACAAUUAGGAACUAGUUAUGCUAGGACUUCAUGAUGAAAUAAUAUGGAGGUCAAAGGAGGUGGAGUUUUUGGACUUCUAGAUACAAUGGAGUAGCUAGUUUUAAUCAUUCUUCCUAUCUAUGUAAAAUACCACCAUCCCCCACUACCAAUAAAAAACAGGGAAGAGGCACUGGAGAACAGAAAAGCCAGGCCUUCAGGGAUGAAGAUCCCAUAAAAAAGGGAAAUACAUUGAGAUAAGCCCUACAAAUUUUGCCUCGGGACAUUUCUCAGUUCUUAAUGCAUGGCGUACAGACUGAAAAGAAAACAGAAGCCAGAAGCAGCCAUUGGGUUAGGGAGACAAAAACUGGAGUUUGGGGCUACGAAACAGCCUGGGCUUGAGGACUAGAUCCUCAUGGAUCUCAGAAGUAAGUUUACCUUCUUGCAAGUAAUAUCCACUUAAGGCAUUUGCUAACUCCUGAUUCGUUUAUGUACUUGGGCUCAGGCCUAGACAAAACAAGUGGAUUUUUCACUACUCAGAAUUAAGCAGUCUCACAGAGAAGGAAGGGACAACAAUUGUCGUUCGUGAUCUUCAGGGAGGAGGAAGCCAUGGUAAAAGGCUUUCAAGUUACCUCAGAAGGGUUAUGUUCCAGAGGAAGAGCAAACCAAAAUAGACCAACUGCAAAUUAUUAUCGGGUGGUUGCUAAUAUUCUUCUACUUGCCAAAAGAAAACUAAAUUCUUUCUGGAAGAAGAUAACAUCAUACUGAGCUUUUGCAGUUUUUCAUAAGAUCUCAACUUUCAGUCAAAAAUUUCAGACAUUCCAGGAAACAGGACCAAAUAAUUAAGUGACAAGGGGGUGGGUACAGAAAGACAACAUAAACAUAUCUACAAGUGAUCUAGAUAUGGAUUUUAAAAUAACUAUGACUAAUAUGUUCAAAAUAGUCGAAUUAUAGAAAAUUUAUCCAAGAAUUGGAAUCUGUAUGGAAGGAUCAAGAGGAAACUUUAAAAUUGAAAAAUAUAAUAACUGAAAUUAAGAAUUUGAUAGAUGGGUUCAGCAGUAAAUUAGGCACACCAGAGGAGAGAAUAGUGAACUGGAAGAAAGGUUCGUAGAAAAUAGAAUGAAACACAAAGAAAAACAAUGAAAAUUCAGAAAAACUUAAGGGAUAAAUGGGAUAUGCGGGAAAAAGUCUAACAAACUUUUUAGUCUUCCAGAGGAAAAAGGAAUAAGGAAGGAACAAUAUUUUAAAGUUUUUAAACUGAUGAUAGAUAACACAGUACAGAUUCAGGAAUUUCUGAGAACCCCAAGAAAGAUUAAUGAAAAGAAACCUUAUUGGGCAAAGAAAAUCAAGCUCCUAAAAAAACAAAGAUUAAAAAAAUCUUAAAAUCAGAGGCAAAACAGGCAACUUCAAAGGAACAACAGUAAGCCAGGCACUGACUUCUGAAUAGAAAUGCUAAAAGCUAGACAUGAGAAUGAAAUUUGUAUCGUGCUUAAAGGAAAUACCUACUAAUCCAGAAUUCUGCAAUUAAAAUUUCUGUGGAAAAUGAAGGUUAAAUAAAUAGAUUUUUACAAAAACAAAAUUAGAGAGAAUAUGUUACUAAUACAUCAGUAGUAAACAAUUAAAGGGAACUAAUUUUUUAGAUAGAAGGAAAUUAUCCUGUGCUGGAAAGAAUGGAGAACACUAAAAGAGUAUGUUGAUCAAUGUGAAUGUGUAUUGAGUAUUUAAAACAAUAGCAUUUCUGUUACAUAACACAAUGCCUUUGAGUCUAAAAUACUACAGAAGUUAAAAUACAUGACAAUACUAGGGUAAGGCAGGAAGAAAUAUAAUUGACCCUUGUACAAUGUGAAAUUUAGGGAUGUCACCUCCCAUGCCCCCCAAACAAUUGAAAAUCCGUGUGUAACUUUUGACUUAACUAAUAGCCUACUGUUGACUGGAAGCCUUACUGAUACCAUAAAUAGUUGAUUAAUACAUAUUUUGUAUGUUAUAUGCAUUAUAUUCUGUAUUCUUACAAGAAAGCUAGAGAAAAGAAAAUGUUAUUAAGAAAACCUUAAGGGAGAGAAAAAAUAUUUUUACAGUACUAUAUUGUAUGUAUGUAUUUAUUUGUAUUUAUUUUUAAUUUUUUUAAUCUUUAUUUAUGUUUGGGGGUGGGGGAACAGAGUGGGAGCUGGGGAGGAACAGAGAGGGAAAAACGGAUCUGAGGUAGGCUCCAGUCUCUGAGCCAUCAGCACAGAGCCCGACGUGGGGCUUGAACUCACUGACCGCGAAUUCAUGACCUGAGCUGAAGUUGGACGCUUAACCGACUAGGCCACCCAGGCGCCCUUGUAUUUUUUUAUUUUUAUUUUUUAAAGUUUAUUUGUUUUUAGAGAGAGAGAGAAAGAGCAAAUGUGUGCCCACACAAGUGGGGAAGGAGCAGAGAGAAGGGGGGAGAGAGAGAAUCCCAAGCAGGCUCCUCACUGGCACAGUGCACUGUCAGCACACUGUCAGCACGGAGCCUGACACAGGGCUCAAACUCCCAAACCAUGAGAUUAUGACCUGAGCCAAAGUCAGACACUUAACUGACUGAGCCACUCAGGUGCUCCUAUUUAUUUUUAAUUUUAAAUCAAACUCUUCACCCACCAUGGGGUUUGAACUCAUGACCCCAAUAUCAAAAGUUACAUGCUCUACCUACUAAGGCAGUCAGACUCCCUAGUACUGUACUGGGUUUAUUGAAAAAAUUCUCUGUAUAAGUAGACCCACGCAGUUCAAAUCCAUGUUGUUAAGGACCAGCUGUGUAUACAGUUGAAACCUUUGCAUUACAUGGGAAUUGGUAAAAAUACUAAGUCAAGGGCAUGUUGUGAUAUUUAGGGCAGUGGUUAUUUUAACACACCAGCAUGUAUCAGAAUAACUAGGAGGACUUGUUAAAACCGAGGUUGCUGAGCCUCAGAAUUUCUGAUUUAGUACAUUGGAUUGGGGUCUGAAAAUUUGAAUUUUUUUUUCUUUUUUUAAGAUUUAAGUAGUCUCCACACCCAACAUGGGCCUGGAACUCAGAACCUUGAGAUCAGAAGCCACAUGUUCUGCCAACUGAGCCAGCUAAGCACCCCUGAAAAUUUGAAUUUCUAAUAGUACUCAGAUACUGGUCCUAUUAUUGCUUACUACAAGAAGAGUAAAAGAAUAUAAAAUAAGCAAGGAAAAAUAAUAAAUCCAGAAGUAGACACAAAAGGAGAAAUAAGUGGGCAAAGAAGAGAUAGAGAAAUAGGAAAAUAAAUAUGUAUUCAGAUUGAAUUAUGUUGGGAAAUGUAAAUGAACAAAAUAUUCCAUUUAAAAGUCAAAGAUUGUCAGACUGGAUAAAAAAGUAAAAUUCAACUUACGUGUUACUUACAAGAAGUAUUUCUUAAAGGACAAGACACAUUACUGAAAAUAAAGAUACUUUAUUAUGAAAAAGGAUCAUUUUAGUAAUACUAAAUUUGUCGGCCUUUUAAAGCCAACAAAACUAAAAGGAGAAAUAGAUUAAGUCCUUGAUCAGAGGAAGAUUUUAACAUAUGUCUCUUUAUAACUCCUGGAAGAAGCAGAUCAAAAUUAAAACAUAACAAAUCAAACAAAUCCCAUUAAAGAUAGAGAAGAUUUGAAUCGUGAAAUUAGGAAUUUGACCCAUUUGAUAUAUAUAGAAUAUUUCAUUUAACAAUUGCAGAAUAUACAUUUUUAAGUGCACAUGGAAUAUUUACCAAAAUUGAUCAUGUAAUACUGAUGAAUGCUAGACCAUAAAGAAGUUUCAACAAAUUUCAGAAGACCAUCGUACAGUGUAUCUUUUCCAGCACAGGGGAAUUUAAGUGGAAAUAAUAACAAAUAGGUAUUUAGAAAAUUACCUAAAGUUUGCAGAUUAAGCAGUAUAGUUAUAAAUAACCCAGGAUCAAGAAAGAAUCAUAAUAGAAAUUAGAAAAUACUUAAAGAAACAUAAAAUAUGAAAGCCUGUAGAAUGCAGUUGAAGUAUUAGCCUAAAUGCAUGUACUAGAACAGAAGAAAGAUUGAAUAUUAAUGAUUUAAGCAUCUAGAUAAAGAUCAAAAUAAAUCUGAAGAAGACAAAGGUUAUAAAUAAGUCAGCAAGCAAGAAGUUGAUUCUUUGUAAGGAUUAAUAAAAUUUCUAACCAAGGUGGGAUAACAAGGUCUAAAUUUACUUUGCUACCUGAAACAAUUGAAAAAAUAGACAAAAUAUGUGCAACAAUGGUUUUUAAGAGAUUGGGCCAUAGGACAGUGAUCCUUGAGAAAUUGUGAACAAAUAAGGUCAGCCCUAUGAUUGUCCUAGCUUACUGUCUGGAGAAAGUUUCCAAGGUACAGAGGUCUCCCUGAGUAGAGCAUGUGGAUCUAGGAGAUCAUGGAAUCUCCAGGGUAGCUAGAGUUCACAGGGCAGCAUAUCAGAGAAGAGAAAGCUGCACCAAGGGAGAAUUCCAGUGAUAUACAAAAGGUCUCCUUGAGUCUUCAGCUGAGUACUUAUCAGUGCAUGAGUAAGGGAGACAAGGGAAAGAACCACCUGAAAGGAUUAGUGUGGAUAAUUACUGAUAUUCCUAUAGGGCCAGGCAUAGUAACUUUCACACAAGAGUGAAGUGCUUCAUAAUUCACAGGUCAUUAGGUAAGGUACUCAGGAGUUUGCUUUAAUAGUGGAAUAAAAUUAGCCCUAGACUAAAACGCUGCUCUGGUCCUGUCUACACACCUUCAAAGCAAAACCCAAGAAGAUCGGUCUAUUUUCAGAUAAAUCAGUUUUUUAAAUUUGAUUUUGAUUUUUUUCAUAUGUAAUUCAGAGGCCAUUAUAAAAUUUCCCCUUUUAAAGUUUAUAAUUCAGGAGUUCUUGGUAUAUUCACAAGGUUGUGCACCUGUUAACCACCAUCUAAUUCCAGAACAUUUCCAUCACCCAAAAAGAAAACCCUGUACCUAUUAGCAUUCAUUCCCUAUUCCAUCCAUUUCCUGUAACUGUUAAUUUACUUUCUAACUCUAUGAAUUUGCCUAUUCUGGACAUUUCGUAUAAAUGGAAUCCUAUAAUAAAUAUGUGACCUGUUAUGUCUGAUUUCUUUCACUAAACACAUUUUCAAGGUUCAGCCAUGUUGCAGCCUAUAUCAGGACUUCGUCCCUGUUGUCAAAUAAUUUAACUGUGUUCCAGAAUAAAGCUCAAGAAAAUUUACAAGAAUACAAAACUGUCUAGCACUUAACAGUGUAAAGUUCACAGUGGUCUGGCAUCCAAUAAAAAAUUACCAGGCUGGCAAGAAGUAGUAAAAAAAAAACAACCCAUAAUGAGGUGAAAAUUAAUCAGAACUGACCCAGAAAUAACACAGGUGAUAGAAUUAGUAUAAAAGGACAUAGGCAAUUACUGUAAGCCAAGGUACAGAAAUAACCGAAGUGUCUAUCAGGGGAUGAAUGGGUAAUGAAGCUGUGUGUGUGUGUGUGUGUGUGUGUGUGUGUGUGUGUCUGUGUGUGUGUAGACACAAAAUAGAGUAUUAUUUAACCAUGAAACGUAAAUUCUGCCAUUUAUGACAACAUAGAUAGACCUUAGGGCAUUAUACCAAGUGAAAGAUACAUACUGUUUUUAUAUGUGGAAUCUUAAAAGGCCAAACUCCUAGAAACAAAGUAAAACGGUGGUUACCAGGGGGCUGUCAGGUGGCAGAAACGGAAAAAUGUUGGCCAAAAGGUACAAACUUUCAGUUAUAAGAUGAUUGAGUGUGGAGGAUCUAUUGUAUACCGUGGUGAUUAUUGUUAACAGUAUUGUAUUCAUGUGUACAUGAAAGCUGGCUAGGUGAGUAAAUCUUAAAUAUACUCAUCAUAAAACAGAAAUGGUAAUUAUGUUAGUUGAUGCAAGAGUGGUAUUUAUUUUGGAGUACAUAAGUGUAUCAAAUGAACACCUUGUAUACCUUAAACUUUUAUGUUCUAUCUCAAAGUUGGAAAAAGCCCAGUUAUUAUAACUGUAUUCAUGGAGGAGCUAAAGGAUAGGUUGAACAUUUGUAUAGACACAUGGAAGAUAUUUUUUUUAAAUACAAAUCAAACUUAGAGAUAAAAAUUAUGUCUGACUUGAAAAAUACACUUGAUGGAAUUAACAGCAGAUAAGACAGAAAGAUGAUUGACCUUGAAAAUAUAGCAGUAAAAGUUAGACAAAAUGAAAUACGUGAAAAGACUUUAAAAAAGUACAUACAUAGAGUAUUAGCACUGGUAACAACUUAAAGCAACCUAAUAUAUGUGUAAUUGAAGUUCCUAAUGGAACUCUGGAUCUACGGAAAGGAAUUAGGACUAGAAAUGGUAAUGACAUGAGUAAAUAUAAAGCUUUUUCUUUUUAAUCUAAAUCUCUUUAAAAAAUAAUAAACUAUUAUUUAAAAAAAAUGUUUUAUGUUUAUUUAUUUUUGAGAGAGAGACAGUGUGAGCAGGGGAGGGGCAGAGAGUGAGGGAGACACAGAAUCCGAAGCAGGCUCCAGGCACUGAGCUGUCAACACCAACAUGGGGCUUGAACCCAGGAACUGGGAGACCGUGACCUGAGCUGAAGUCAGAGCCUUAACUGACUGAGCCACCCAGGCGCCCCAAUAAUAAAUUGUUUAAAGUAAAGAUAACAAAAGUAUGUUGUGGGUUUAUAACAUGUAGAAAUAAAAUAUAGGACAACAGUAGUACUCAGGCAGGUAGAGGAGAAAUGGAAGUGUUAGGAAAGAAGUAUUAAAUAAACUUUGAGUAAGCAGAAACAAAGCUAUUAUAGGUGACAUUGUUUAUAUGGAAAAUUCAGAAAAAUCUACAAAUAAACUCAGAACUAAUAAAUUAACAAGGUCUUGAUAUCAGUAUUAGAUUUUAAAAAUCAAUUACAUUUCUCUAUAUGAGUCAGA